rnacentral:lncRNA from 1 species
UUUUUUGGUGAUCGAGAGAACCGUCUUCUUACCGCCAUACAUAUCAACGUGGUCCUAAAUUCCAGUAAGACCUUUGAUUAUAAGCCACUCAAAUGAUUUUGUUCGUGCAAGUGAAACAUCGGCAUCCUGUAACCUAUAUCAAACAACACAUACUAAUGAUAUAAUUAGAGAGAACCCAAGGAUGCGCCAAAACCAACCUAUUAAUCUUCUCCUCCAUAACAAACCAAAGAAAAAUGAACGAUCAUAAUUUAUAUUAUAUAACGUCAACCCUCUCAACAUUAACAGAUGCAGCAAUCUAAGGCGAUUAUCUUUAACAUUUACAAAAUAGAAUCUUAAACAUCCAAGACUUUUCAACUCUCUCGGAAAAUAGAUAAUAUACAAAAUCCCGUCUACACUCCAAUCACAAUGCUUCCCAUGAAAACUUCAUAAACUGCAACACCAGCGUGGGCUUCAACGUUUGAUAACAACUGCAUCACAAUCACAACAUGACGAAUCAAAAUGAGGUUCCUCUAAGAACCGAAUAUUGAGAUAACAUCAUUUUUGCAAUUGUAGAGGCAAGUCAAAGCAACCACAUCAACGGUCCCAUACCUGAUCUAAGCAACUCUAUGGUAAACAGAAAAGGUACAUCAGUGAUUUCAUUGAACACUAACUUUAACCUAAGACCAAGGACGAGGAACAACAAUCCAGCAAUAUACCACAAUCAUCCUCUUCACCUGCAGUUUGUUCAUAUACUACCUGACUAAACUAAUAACACUACACAAAAAGACCUCAAAGUUGAAACCUCACAUGAACAGCUGACAACAGGCAAUCAGUAGCAUCCUUUGGUAUCAUUGUACACUGUAUAACCACAUGGGACCCUUCAGCAUCAAAGAAGUUCAUACUUAACAAUCUUAUAAGGCCAUGACCCCACGAGAGUUUGGUCAAAUCUCCGGGUAAGUGUUAGGCAAGGCAAAUAACAACCGCAAACGUGAAGAAAGUAACAGGGAUAUAAACCUGAAACGGAAUACACUUCAGUAACCUUUUAACUUCACCCCACGAGAGUUUGGUCAAAUCUCUGGGUAAGUGUUACCUUGCAUCAAGUAAUACAUGAACCGAUGAAAGGGAAGGCAACUAAGCACCUCAAAAAUGAAGUAACAAGAAUAUAAACUAAAACGGGAUAGACACUUCAAUAACCUUUUAACUUCCCCCUACGUAGAAGAUUGUAAGCCUCUCAGAGUUGUCUUCCUACACAAAAUGUUUAAAUGUUGUGCAUUUCAACCAAUGAGACACAAAGCUUAUAUAAUCAAGUAUUUAUCGUCCCAGUAAAUCUGUAAGCAAAACUCACUUGUCUAGUCUCUUCCUGCAAACAUAACACUCGCUUGUCCCUUCUUUAAAAUUCUGCCUCGUACAGGAAAACACAUCUUUCUUUUUGGAAUAAAAAUCACCUUCAGUGAACUCAAAAAGACUUUCCCAUGAAAACUUCACAAACUGCAACCCUAACAUAGGCUUCAAUGUGUGACGGAGCAUAUUAAGGUUCACGAGAUGAUUAGUUGAGGAAACAUCACUUCCCCAAUCGUAAGAUCUCAACAAAAGUAACUAGAAUGGAGAUUUUUCGUGUUAGCCAGAGAGUUUUUCCCUGCAAGCCAAUAUGUCCAAGGACUACGAUUUGGAGGUAACAAUCCUACAACAUAUUUAAUCAAUCUCCACCAGAAGUAAGCAUAUUAAGCCUCACCUGAAAGCAAACAACACAUGUGUCCCCCACAAAAAUCAAUUGAGGACUUCAUUAUCAAAUGUUUCAGAACCAUUAAAACCAGCCAGGAAGAAAGAAACCUCAGAAGUCAGAAAUAAAGACGAAUAUCAUCAAAACCAAUGUGCCUGCUAUGAGCCAGCCCCCAUGAGGUCACACAACCAGCAAGAAUCACUUAAAUAAAUACCUAACUGAAGAGAAUAUGAGCAUACACCAUGACCAUUACUAACAAUCAGUGUGGACCUACAAAAUAACUCGAUGUGGCAGACUAGCAGUUUUAUGACCACCAAAAUACGAUGUAUAAAUGUUGAGGUAUAUGAUGAAACCUAUAAUCUUCAAAAGCUUCAGACAUUAACCAGAUAUUGCUGAAAAACUGAGAAUCAUCAUCAAAAGGCCAGAAGACUAAAUCUUAAAAUCAAUAGAACAAGUAUAAACUCUGAGCGUCCACACCUUCAGAUAUGUCAGCCUACAGAGUUUUUCAACCAUCCUGUCCAGGUAAAUCCCAGAGCAUGAAACAGAAGAGUCACCAAAACAAAAAGUUUUUAUGCAUAACUGACGAGCGAACUCAAAGAACCUUCAAUGUUACCUUCUCUUGCUGGAGAACAGACCAACCCAUAAGUAAAAUAUACUGGAUCCUCAAAAUCUGUAGCACAGUUCCGCUCAGAGAGAAGCAGAAGACAACAAAAUUAAUAGCAUCAACUCUCAGGAAAUAAAUAGCCUCGUCAAAGCAGAAACAAAGAAGAAAAGAUGGAACCCUUCAAUUGGAGGUUGGAGCUUACUUUUCUUUAAUACCCAGUAAACUAUAACAGUCAGAAGUAAUUCAAAAAUCAACAAAGACGCAAUAAUCAAAAGCCAAAGAAACCUAAGAAUCAAACCUCAGAAGAAAAGUAGCUCAUAACACCUGACCUGGAUCUACCAGAUAUGGAAGAUCCAAAUUUGUCCCUACUGAGAGAUAACUAGGCAAAUUCAUGAUGUACAGUUACAGGGAGUGUAGUCGAGCAGACCAAAACCUUUGCAAAAUCAAACUCCAAUGCAAUGAUAAGUUUCAUCCAGUAGUAGCAAUUAGCAUCUAUAUAGAAAAGAUGCAGCAGACAGGAACUGAUCACAUCUCCACCAAAUAUAAUAGUAACCAAAACAAAAAAAAAGGCACACCACGGGUUAAGAAAAUACUGCAAAUUCAAACUUCGAUGCCCAAAAAAACCAAUAAGAGAUCCUGGCUCCUUCACAUCCUCAACAUACCAAAAAAUCAAAAGAAUCUCCCCCCUAUCACAGUCCAGAGCUCAGGAAGUGCAACAGACUUCAAAAUCCAGGAUGUACGAAACAACAGAUUGCAGAAAAUCCAAAAAAGAGGAACAAGAAAACCUGAGUAACAACAUGUCUAGCUUUCUGCAUAAGAGGCACUCAGACUUGAAGCUGUUCAAUACAAAAAAAUAAUUUAGUAGACACAUCUAUGAUGAAAAGGACAGGAAAAACAUUAGAGUUAGCAAUCAUCAGAUACAUAAAAGCAUUGAAUACAAAAACUAGGUAAAAGGACAAGACAUAGGAACAAACUCGUUUGGGAGGGAUCUAUGAUCAUCUUUAGUCUGAGUGUGUGAGGUGAAUUGUGAAGAAAUUCUGGGAAACAGAGACACAGGAAAAAUCAUACCUCACCAACAAUACAACAGCCAACUUUUAAGUAAAAAAUGAAUGGGUAAAAAGGUAUGUAGAUGCAAAGUAACCAGAGACACGAUAUAGGCAAACCAUCUUUCCCUCUCAUUAUGCUUGAACCUUUCUCCAAAAUUAGAAAAGAAAACAUCAAGUAAUAGGGAAAUAAGAAACCAAAAAAAUAAAACAAAAGGAGAUAAGAAACCGCCAGAGAGGUAACAUGAAGCACAAGAUCAAACACAUCUUUAAGCUCAAAAUAUAUACCUAUAAACAAAAGAAGAAUUUCACAUCAGAAAAAAAAACCACGCCACAAGAAUAUGAGAGUAUGAUAAGACUCUAAACAUAGAUGUAGCAUAAAAGAUAAGACCAACAGAAAGAAAGGGGAAAGAAACCAGUUAGUAGCCGGACGUUUCUCUCUUUUAGAACCUCACAACCUAUAACAAAAGAUCAUAAAACAUAGAUGCUAACAUCACUAGCAAGAUCAGCAGACAUUACUAUUAACCUGAAACAUCCAAUAACAAAGUAUAUGGAAACAAUCAUAUUGCUGAAAGAAUGCACAAGGAAAAGAAAACGAAAAACCUGAACACACAUGACCAGCCUUCUGCAUCAGAGAUCUCAGACUUAGCAGAUCUAAUAGACAUAAGACAUUCAAUACAAAAUAAACUUUAAAAAGAAAAGUAUAAGAACAAACUCCUCUCAUAUGAAUGUGUGGAGACACAGCAGAGACUCUUAGAGAAGUGACUGAUGUUGAAAAUCUGGAAAACACAGAGUAGAGCACCGAUCAAACCUAACCAACUAUAGCCAACAUUGAAUAAAUCAACCAAUAGCAAAAAGUGUAUAUAUGCGAAGUAACCAGAAACUCGUUUGGGAGGACUGUAUGAUCAUCUUUAGUCUGAUUGUGUAAACGGAAACAGAAUGAAGUGGUUUGUGAAGAAAAUCUGGGACACAGACACAGGAAAAAUCAUACCUCACCAGCAAUAUCAAUCUUAAAUUAAACAAUCUAUAGAUAAAAAGUUGUAUAGAUGUGAAGGAACCAGAAACCAAUAUAAUAUGCAACCCUUCCUUUUCUCCCGCAAUGCCUUGAACUUCUACAAUCUAAAUAGAAACUUCUCCAAAAAUUAAAAAAGAAAAACAUCAGGUAAUAUGGAAAUAAGAAACCCUAAAAAUAAGACAAUGGGAGAUAAGAAAACCGCCAGAGAGGUAGCAGGGAACCAUUAGAUAAAAAUCUUUCAAACUCGAUAUAUAUACCUACAAAGAAGGGGACCAUUUGACAUAAAAAACCCACCGUCAAAAGCAUAUGAAGAGAGUAUGAUCAAAUACUAAAAAUAGAUGUAACAUGAGAGAUAACAUACUACCAACAUAAAUAAAGGGGAAAAAAACAUAGUAACCUGACGCUUCUCUUUUUAGAACUCACUGCCUUAAAUAGAAGACAAAGACUUGUAAGCAUAAAAUAUAAGUGCUAACAUCGCUAAGAAGAUCUGUUAACCUGAAACAUCCAAUAACAACUCUGUGGAGACAACAGAUUGCUGAAAGAUACCCAAACGAAUAACAUUCAAUACAGAAACUACUUGCAAAGGAAAAAUAAAAAGAGUAAAUGAACAAACUCAUUAGGAAGGUAAUUCAAGGUCAUCUUUCAUAUGGAUAUGUGAAGACAGCAGAGAAACAGAGAGAAGAGACUGAUGUAGAAAUCUGGAAACACACAAUAAGACACACAGGACAGAUCAUAAUCAACCAACAACAAAAGCCUAAAAUAAUAUAAAACAACCAAUAACAAAAAGGUGAAUAGAUGUGAGUUAACCAGAAACACGAAAUCAUACUCAACCAAGCCUUCUCUCCCACAAUGCCUUCAACUUCUUAGAUCUAAACCAAAGAUUUCACCCAAAAAAAUUAGAAGGAAAACCACACGUAAUAUAGGACUCUAAAAAGGAAACAAAGGGGAAUAAGAAAACAGCCAAAGAUGUAACAUCAGGGAGCGACGACAGAUCAAAUAUAUCCUUCAAGAUAAACUGAGACGGAAUAGAACAGAGGUAAUCGUGAUUGUAACAAGGAAAGUAAAAAAUAUGUAACACGAGAAAUCAGAAGAAACCAACAGAUAGGGGAGAAGAAAUCUACAACACAGCAAUCCCAUUGCCUCCACGAUCUGCGUCAAACAGAGAGAUAUCGCUUAUGUAGAAAAAGCCAAAAAAAACAAAAAGUAUUGGGAAAGAGGAGAAAAAUCAAACAGAUAUAACGAUCAAUCAAACCAUCACCGGUCGAUCUUAGUAUCUUCCACAAUCACCAAUCAAUCAUAGUACCCUCCUAAAUCAAAAAUAGAACGAGGAGUAAAUAUAACAUAAAUUGAAAAAGGUAAAAAUUCAGAAGCUAGAUCGAGGAUCGGAUCAAAAAAUCGAUUUAAGACGUAGCCUAGAGAAACCAGGUGACAAAGAUCCAAAAAAACCAAUCACCGAUCAUAGCAUCAUCCAAGAUCUACAACAACAUGACGACAAGGAAACAAAAAGUGGUGAAAAUACAGAAUCGAAAGAGAUGAUCGGAUCAUAAUUGGCAUCCAAAACAUCUGCGAGACGAAGAGACGUAAGUAAGAAAACGAAAAUCAGAGGAAGAGCACCCCCUGAAGACGUAGCGCAGAGACGCAACAGAGAAACAACAAAUCCACCAAAGCCAUCACCAAGAGAUCAAAGCAUCGAUCCAUCACCAAGAGUAAACCACAUGAACANNN